AGGUGGGGGGCAGCAUGCAAUGGCUUUCUUUUUAUAAAAAGGAAACACUGACAAAACCAUAGGAUAAGAGGGGUACAACUCCACACAUUUCCCACCACCAGAACUCCAACUCCGUAUCCCCUCCCCUGAUAGCUUUGCUAUUUAACCCUCUGGGGGUAUGGACCCAAGGUCAUUGUGGGAUGCAGAAGGUGGAAGGUCUGGCUUUUGUAAUUGCUUCCCGGAUGAAUAUGGGUAUUGACAGGUGGAUCCAUACUCCCAGUCUGCUUCUCUCUUUCCCUAGUAGGGAAGAGCUCUGGGGAAGCAGAGCUCCAGGACAAAUUGAUGGGUUUGUCUGUCCAGGGAAGUCUGGUUUAUGUUUUUACCCCACUCACCUAUUUUGCCCACCCUUCAGAACUCCCUUCUGUUUGGCAACUUUAUUUCUUUUCUUAGUAUUUAUGAGUUUUGCUUUGGUGAGGUUUUUUGUUUGUUUUGUUACUUGGUUUUUUGGUUUUUUUUGUUAAGUUCUUUUAAAAUGAAUUAUUUGUUUGAAGUCUUUAAUUAUUUAUGAGAGACAGUCAGAGCUUGUGGUGCUGGGGAUUGAACCUGAUACUUCUGGGGCCUAGUGCAUGCAAGUCUUGUGUUCUAACAUCUUGAACUAUUACUAAGACUUUUUAAAUACUACUUAUAAAUGAUAUCAUAUGGUG